UACGUAGGGGGCAAGCGUUGUCCGGAAUCAUUGGGCGUAAAGAGCGCGUAGGCGGUCCGGUAAGUCCGCUGUGAAAGUCGGGGGCUCAACCCUCGAAUGCCGGUGGAUACUGUCGGGCUAGAGUCCGGAAGAGGCGAGUGGAAUUCCUGGUGUAGCGGUGAAAUGCGCAGAUAUCAGGAGGAACACCAAUGGCGAAGGCAGCUCGCUGGGACGGUACUGACGCUGAGGCGCGAAAGCGUGGGGAGCGAACAGG
rnacentral:rRNA from 1 species